GUAGGUGGCAAGCGUGUCCGGAUUUACUGGGCGUAAAGCGCGCGCAGGCGGCACAUCAAGUCUGGGGUGAAAUCUCCCGGCUCAACCGGGAGAGGUCUCUAGAUACUGAUGAGCUUGAGGGGAGUAGAGGAGAGCGGAAUUCCCGGUGUAGCGGUGAUAUGCGUAGAUAUCGGGAGGAACACCAGUGGCGAAGGCGGCUCUCUGGGCUCUACCUGACGCUGAGGCGCGAAAGCGUGGGGAGCGAACCGGAUUAGAUACCCGGGUAGUCCACGCCGUAAACGUUGGGCACUAGGUGUGGGGGGUAUUGACCCCUCCCGUGCCGAAGUUAACGCGUUAAGUGCCCCGCCUGGGGAGUACGGCCGCAAGGCUA
rnacentral:rRNA from 1 species